rnacentral:rRNA from 1 species
UAACCUGCCCAAGAGAUCGGGAUAACACCUGGAAACAGAUGCUAAUACCGGAUAACAACAGAUGAUGCCUAUCAACUGUUUAAAAGAUGGUUCUGCUAUCACUCUUGGAUGGACCUGCGGUGCAUUAGCUAGUUGGUAGGGUAACGGCCUACCAAGGCGAUGAUGCAUAGCCGAGUUGAGAGACUGAUCGGCAACAUUGGGACUGAGACACGGCCCAAACUCCUACGGGAGGCAGCAGGC